rnacentral:rRNA from 1 species
AACGAACGCUGGCGGCAGGCUUAACACAUGCAAGUCGAACGCCCCGCAAGGGGAGUGGCAGACGGGUGAGUAACACGUGGGAACAUGCCCAAAGGUACGGAAUAUUCUCGGGAAACUGGGAGCAAUACCGUAUGUGCCCGAAAGGGGAAAGAUUUAUCGCCUUUGGAUUGGCCCGCGUUGGAUUAGCUAGUUGGUGGGGUAAUGGCCUACCAAGGCGACGAUCCGUAGCUGGUCUGAGAGGACGACCAGCCACACUGGGACUGAGACACGGCCCAGACUCCUACGGGAGGCAGCAGUGGGGAAUAUUGGACAAUGGGGGCGAACCCUGAUCCAGCCAUGCCGCGUGAGUGAAGAAGGCCUCG